GGCGCGGUACCCAAGUGGCUAAGGGAGAGGUCUGCAAAACCUUUAUGCGUCGGUUCGAUUCCGACCCGCGCCUCCA
rnacentral:tRNA from 1 species